rnacentral:rRNA from 1 species
AGUGUACCCGCGGCAAGACGGAAAGACCCCGUGAACCUUUACUAUAGCUUGACACUGAACAUUGAGCCUUGAUGUGUAGGAUAGGUGGGAGGCUUAGAAGUGUGGACGCCAGUCUGCAUGGAGCCGACCUUGAAAUACCACCCUUUAAUGUUUGAUGUUCUAACGUUGACCCGUAAUCCGGGUUGCGGACAGUGUCUGGUGGGUAGUUUGACUGGGGCGGUCUCCUCCUAAAGAGUAACGGAGGAGCACGAAGGUUGGCUAAUCCUGGUCGGACAUCAGGAGGUUAGUGCAAUGGCAUAAGCCAGCUUGACUGCGAGCGUGACGGCGCGAGCAGGUGCGAAAGCAGGUCAUAGUGAUCCGGUGGUUCUGAAUGGAAGGGCCAUCGCUCAACGGAUAAAAGGUACUCCGGGGAUAACAGGCUGAUACCGCCCAAGAGUUCAUAUCGACGGCGGUGUUUGGCACCUCGAUGUCGGCUCAUCACAUCCUGGGGCUGAAGUAGGUCCCAAGGGUAUGGCUGUUCGCCAUUUAAAGUGGUACGCGAGCUGGGUUUAGAACGUCGUGAGACAGUUCGGUCCCUAUCUGCCGUGGGCGCUGGAGAACUGAGGGGGGCUGCUCCUAGUACGAGAGGACCGGAGUGGACGCAUCACUGGUGUUCGGGUUGUCAUGCCAAUGGCACUGCCCGGUAGCUAAAUGCGGAAGAGAUAAGUGCUGAAAGCAUCUAAGCACGAAACUUGCC